GCCAUGAAUGCAUCAUUUGCAUACACGCGCUAGUGCCCGAGCGUUUUGACUUUCAGUUGAAAGCAACAGUCGACGCGCUCUGACGAUGAAACUAACGUUAGCGGCAGUUAAUGUUUAAUGUCCUCAUCUGCUAAAUGAGAAACUUUAACUUUAUAUCAAAUAUUCAACUCUUCGACACAGACCAAUUCAUUCCUUUAACAGUACGUCACAAUGAAAGAAGCGACGCUGAUGGCCGGAACACUGAUUCCACCAACGUUAAACAAGAGGCCCGUAAACAACAACAAAGGCCCUAAACAGACAGCUCCCCAAGAGAUGGAAUGUACACCUGCCAAUCAAGACAAAUCUCCACCAAAAAAGAAAAAACCUCCCUCUAAACCAUCCACUUUGGAGUCGGCAGAUUUGUUUAAGGCUACAACUGCAGGUGCAAGUAGAGAGGUCAGCAUGCUGCGCUUCAAAUUUGCCGAAGUGUUAUG